GAUGAACGCUGGCGGCGUGCCUAAUACAUGCAAGUCGAGCGAACAGACGAGGAGCUUGCUCCUCUGACGUUAGCGGCGGACGGGUGAGUAACACGUGGAUAACCUACCUAUAAGACUGGGAUAACUUCGGGAAACCGGAGCUAAUACCGGAUAACAUGUUGAACCGCAUGGUUCAACAGUGAAAGACGGUCUUGCUGUCACUUAUAGAUGGAUCCGCGCCGCAUUAGCUAGUUGGUAAGGUAACGGCUUACCAAGGCAACGAUGCGUAGCCGACCUGAGAGGGUGAUCGGCCACACUGGAACUGAGACACGGUCCAGACUCCUACGGGAGGCAGCAGUAGGGAAUCUUCCGCAAUGGGCGAAAGCCUGACGGAGCAACGCCGCGUGAGUGAGGAAGGUCUUCGGAUCGUAAAACUCUGUUAUUAGGGAAGAACAAAUGUGUAAGUAACUAUGCACGUCUUGACAGUACCUAAUCAGAAAGCCACGGCUAACUACGUG
rnacentral:rRNA from 1 species